rnacentral:misc_RNA from 1 species
UUUCCGUAGGUGAACCUGCGGAAGGAUCAUUACCGAGCGAGGGCCCCCUGGGUCCAACCUCCCACCCGUGUCUCUCGUACCUCGUUGCUUCGGCGGGCCCGCCUCACGGCCGCCGGGGGGCAUCUCGCCCCCGGGCCCGCGCCCGCCGAAGACAUCCACGAACUCUGUCUGAAGAAUGCAGUCUGAGUGAAAUGAUAAAUUACUUAAAACUUUCAACAACGGAUCUCUUGGUUCCG